rnacentral:rRNA from 1 species
CUCAGUUCGGAUUGGAGUCUGCAACCCGACUCCAUGAAGCUGGAUUCGCUAGUAAUCGCGCAUCAGCCACGGCGCGGUGAAUACGUUCCCGGGCCUCGUACACACCGCCCGUCACACCAUGAGAGUCGGGAACACCCGAAGUCCGUAGUCUAACCGCGAAGGGGGACGCGGCCGAAGGUGGGUUCGAUAAUUGGGGUGAAGUCGUAACAAGGUACC